rnacentral:rRNA from 1 species
CAGCCGCCGCGGUAAUACCGGCGGCCCGAGUGGCGGUCACUAUUAUUGGGCUUAAAGCGUCCGUAGCCGGGUUGGGAAGUCCUCCGGGAAAUCUGGCCGCUUAACGGUCAGAAUGCCGGAGGAUACUCCCAGCCUAGGGAGCGGGGGAGGCCGAGGGGAUUCCCGGAGUAGGGGGGAAAUCCUAUAAUCCCCGGAGGACCACCUGUGGCGAAGGCGCUCGGCUGGAACGCGUCCGACGGUGAGGGACGAAGGCCAGGGGAGCAAACCGGAUUAGAUACCCGGGUAGUCCUGGCUGUAAACGAUGCGGACUUUGUGUCGGACAAGCUAUGAGCUUGUCCGGUGCCGGAGGGAAACCGUUAAGUCCGCCGCCUGGGGAGUACGGCCGCAAGGCUGAAACUUAAAGGAAUUGGCGGG